rnacentral:lncRNA from 1 species
CCGGAAAUAUUUGAAAAACACGUUGAAAAUUCUAAGUAAAGAUUUGACCAAUUUUCAAAGGAAGAAUACAAAUAAAUACUAUAACCUGGUCAACAAAAUCCGAAACCAAUUACUGAAAAAUUCAUACUGUUACAAUAAGACGGUUUGAUCAAAACUCUUAAAACAUUACCCCAAGUUAAAACACUCUCUCCCGAUGGUCUUUAUAGCAUCGCGCUCCGGUCCACAUAAUCAACCUUACCUGCAUCCGCAAAAGGAGGCAUGAGUAUACAAAAUUACUCAGUGAUGACGCUAAAACGCCCACAUGCAACUCAAUAAUCAAACAAUAAAAUUCAAUGUUCCAUUCUAACAACCUAGCAUUUCCAUUCUAUCAACCUAGCAAUUCAUUUCCAUUAUUUCUUACUUAGCCAUUUUUCCUAUUACUAUCCAUUUUCAUGCA